rnacentral:rRNA from 1 species
UAUGAGAGUUUGAUCCUGGCUCAGGAUGAACGCUGGCGAGAUGCCUUACACAUGCAAGUCGUACGAGAAUUUUUAAUUCAAGUGGCGGACGGGUGAGUAACACGUAAGAAUUUGCCUUUAGGAGGGGGAUAAUAACUGGAAACGGUUGCUAAUACCCCAUAUGCUUUCGAGUGAAAUGGAGUUUUCCGCCUAGAGAGAAGCUUGCGGCUGAUUAGCUUGUUGGUGGGGUAAUGGCCUACCAAGGCGACGAUCAGUAUCUGGUUUGAGAGGAUGAUCAGACACACUGGAACUGAGACACGGUCCAGACUCCUACGGGAGGCAGCAGUGAGGAAUAUUGGACAAUGAACGAAAGUUUGAUCCAGCAAUACUAACUGGGUGAUGACGGCUUAUCAAGUUGUAAGAUCCUUUAAUUAAGAAAGAUAAUGACAUUAUUUAAUUGAAUUAGUCCUGGCUAAUACUCGUGCCAGCAGCCGCGGUAAUACGGGAAGGGCAAGCGUUAUCCGGCAUGACUGGGCGUAAAGAGUCCGUAGACUGUAAAGUAAGUUUCUUGUUAAAUUUUAAGACCCAAUCUUAACAGAGCAAUUAAUACUGC